UACGAAGGGGGCUAGCGUUGCUCGGAAUCACUGGGCGUAAAGGGUGCGUAGGCGGGUCUUUUAAGUCAGGGGUGAAAUCCUGGAGCUCAACUCCAGAACUGCCUUUGAUACUGAGGAUCUUGAGUUCGGGAGAGGUGAGUGGAACUGCGAGUGUAGAGGUGAAAUUCGUAGAUAUUCGCAAGAACACCAGUGGCGAAGGCGGCUCACUGGCCCGAUACUGACGCUGAGGCGCGAAAGCGUGGGGAGCAAACAGG
rnacentral:rRNA from 1 species